rnacentral:lncRNA from 1 species
GAUCGAGGUGGACCAGGACGAGGACGAGGAAGACGAGGAGAACGAGGAUUUCUGCACGACAUAACCCGAGGUGGUUAGCGGUGGUCAUUGGAGGUGGUCGGAGGUGGUUAGAGGUGGUUGCGGCUGAUCGAGCAGGAUAAGGAGUGGGACAAGGAGAAGGACGAGGAUUUGUGUAUGGUACAACCCGAUGUGGUUAUCGGUGG